CCGUAGCGAAAGCGAGUCUGAAUAGGGCGCAUAAGUAACAGGUCGUAGACCCGAAACCAGGUGAUCUACCCAUGUCCAGGAUGAAGGUAAGGUAAUACUUACUGGAGGUCCGAACCCACGCACGUUGAAAAGUGCGGGGAUGAGGUGUGGGUAGCGGAGAAAUUCCAAUCGAACUUGGAGAUAGCUGGUUCUCUCCGAAAUAGCUUUAGGGCUAGCCUCGAGGUAAAGAGUCAUGGAGGUAGAGCACUGUUUGGACUAGGGGCCCUUCUCGGGUUACCGAAUUCAGAUAAACUCCGAAUGCCAUGUACUUAUACUCGGGAGUCAGACUGCGAGUGAUAAGAUCCGUAGUCGAAAGGGAAACAGCCCAGACCACCAGUUAAGGUCCCCAAAUAUAUGUUAAGUGGAAAAGGAUGUGGGGUUGCUUAGACAACCAGGAUGUUGGCUUAGAAGCAGCCACCAUUGAAAGAGUGCGUAAUAGCUCACUGGUCGAGUGACCCCGCGCCGAAAAUGUACCGGGGCUAAACAUAUUACCGAAACUGUGGAUGAACCUCUUUAGAGGUUCGUGGUAGGAGAGCGUUCUAAGGGCGGUGAAGUCAGACCGGAAGGACUGGUGGAGCGCUUAGAAGUGAGAAUGCCGGUAUGAGUAGCGAAAGAAGGGUGAGAAUCCCUUCCACCGAAUAUCUAAGGUUUCCUGAGGAAGGCUCGUCCGCUCAGGGUUAGUCGGGACCUAAGCCGAGGCCGAUAGGCGUAGGCGAUGGACAACAGGUAGAGAUUCCUGUACCAGUGCUAAUUGUUUAACCGAUGGGGUGACACAGAAGGAUAGGGAAUCGCACGAAUGGAAAUGUGCGUCCAAGCAGUGAGUGUGAGAAGUAGGCAAAUCCGCUUCUCGCGAAGCAUGAGCUGUGAUGGGGAAGGAAAUUAAGUACGGAAGUUCCUGAUUUCACGCUGUCAAGAAAAGCCUCUAGGAAGAGUAGUACUGCCCGUACCGCAAACCGACACAGGUAGAUGAGGAGAGAAUCCUAAGGUGAGCGAGAGAACUCUCGUUAAGGAACUCGGCAAAAUGACCCCGUAACUUCGGGAGAAGGGGUGCUCUAUUAGGGUGCAAGCCCGAGAGAGCCGCAGUGAAUAGGCCCAGGCGACUGUUUAGCAAAAACACAGGUCUCUGCAAAACCGUAAGGUGACGUAUAGGGGCUGACGCCUGCCCGGUGCUGGAAGGUUAAGAGGAGUGCUUAGCUUCGGCGAAGGUACGAAUUGAAGCCCCAGUAAACGGCGGCCGUAACUAUAACGGUCCUAAGGUAGCGAAAUUCCUUGUCGGGUAAGUUCCGACCCGCACGAAAGGCGCAACGAUCUGGGCACUGUCUCAACGAGAGACUCGGUGAAAUUAUAGUACCUGUGAAGAUGCAGGUUACCCGCGACAGGACGGAAAGACCCCGUGGAGCUUUACUGCAACCUGAUAUGGAAUGUUUGUACCGCUUGUACAGGAUAGGUAGGAGCCGAAGAGACGUGUGCGCUAGCAUACGAGGAGGCAAUGGUGGGAUACUACCCUGGCUGUAUGACCAUUCUAACCCGCCACGCUUAGCGCGUGGGGAGACAGUGUCAGGUGGGCAGUUUGACUGGGGCGGUCGCCUCCUAAAGAGUAACGGAGGCGCCCAAAGGUUCCCUCAGAAUGGAUGGAAAUCAUUCGCAGAGUGUAAAGGCACAAGGGAGCUUGACUGCGAGACUGACAAGUCGAGCAGGGACGAAAGUCGGGCUUAGUGAUCCGGUGGUUCCGCAUGGAAGGGCCAUCGCUCAACGGAUAAAAGCUACCCCGGGGAUAACAGGCUUAUCUCCCCCAAGAGUCCACAUCGACGGGGAGGUUUGGCACCUCGAUGUCGGCUCGUCGCAUCCUGGGGCUGUAGUCGGUCCCAAGGGUUGGGCUGUUCGCCCAUUAAAGCGGCACGCGAGCUGGGUUCAGAACGUCGUGAGACAGUUCGGUCCCUAUCCGUCGCGGGCGCAGGAAAUUUGAGAGGAGCUGUCCUUAGUACGAGAGGACCGGGAUGGACACACCGCUGGUGUACCAGUUGUUCCGCCAGGAGCAUCGCUGGGUAGCUAUGUGUGGCAGGGAUAAACGCUGAAAGCAUCUAAGCGUGAAGCCCCCCUCAAGAUGAGAUUUCCCAUUUCUUCGGAAAGUAAGAUCCCUGAAAGAUGAUCAGGUAGAUAGGUUUGGAGUGGAAGUGUAGCGAUACAUGGAGCGGACAAAUACUAAUCGAUCGAGGACUUAACCAAAA
rnacentral:rRNA from 1 species